rnacentral:misc_RNA from 2 species
UUGAAAUAAACCUGAUGGGUUGUUGCUGGUUCUCUAGGGAACAUGUGCACGCCUUGUCAUCUUUAUAUCUCCACCUGUGCACUUUUUGUAGGCCUUUCCAGGUCUAUGUUGCUUCAUUUUACCCCAACUGUAUGUCAUUAGAAUGUUGUGCCUAUAUAACAUAUA